GUCAAAUAAAGAAUAACACAUUUCUGUAUACAGUAUACACAUAUAGCACUGCACAGGAAAACUGUCGAUGUUUGUCCAUAAAACCAGGGUCUAGUCUACUCACUGCAGUCCUUAGAAAACAAAUCAGAUUCCCUGCAACUAUUGGUGACAAGGAGAUAGCACGUGCUCCAGCAGAUCUACGCCUCGUCACAAUACUGUCUCGGCGCUCUACGGACAGUUCCUUCGAUCUCAUUGCUUGGUUUUAGCUCUGACAUGCACUGUCAAAUAUGGGACCUUUAUAUAGACAGGUGUGUGUCUUUCUAAAUCAUGUCCAAUCAAAUGAAUUUGCCGCAGCUGAACUCCAAUCAAGUUGUAGAAACAUCUCAACGAUG
rnacentral:lncRNA from 1 species